GAUGAACGCUGGCGGCGUGCCUAAUACAUGCAAGUCGAGCGAACGGACGAGAAGCUUGCUUCUCUGAUGUUAGCGGCGGACGGGUGAGUAACACGUGGAUAACCUACCUAUAAGACUGGGAUAACUUCGGGAAACCGGAGCUAAUACCGGAUAAUAUUUUGAACCGCAUGGUUCAAAAGUGAAAGACGGUCUUGCUGUCACUUAUAGAUGGAUCCGCGCUGCAUUAGCUAGUUGGUAAGGUAACGGCUUACCAAGGCAACGAUGCAUAGCCGACCUGAGAGGGUGAUCGGCCACACUGGAACUGAGACACGGUCCAGACUCCUACGGGAGGCAGCAGUAGGGAAUCUUCCGAAAUGGGCGAAAGCCUGACGGUGCAACGCCGCGUGAGUGAUGGAGGUCUUCGGAUCGUAAAACUCUGUUAUUAGGGAAGAACAUAUGUGUAAGUAACUGUGCACAUCUUGACGGUACCUAAUCUGAAAGCCACGGCUAACUACGUG
rnacentral:rRNA from 1 species